AUUGAACGCUGGCGGCAGGCUUAACACAUGCAAGUCGAGCGGUAACAGGGGGAGCUUGCUCCCUGCUGACGAGCGGCGGACGGGUGAGUAAUGCAUAGGAAACUGCCCAGUAGUGGGGGAUAGCCCGGGGAAACCCGGAUUAAUACCGCAUACGCCCUUUGGGGGAAAGCAGGGGAUCUUCGGACCUUGCGCUAUUGGAUGUGCCUAUGUCGGAUUAGCUAGUUGGUGGGGUAAGAGCCUACCAAGGCGACGAUCCGUAGCUGGUCUGAGAGGAUGAUCAGCCACAUCGGGACUGAGACACGGCCCGAACUCCUACGGGAGGCAGCAGUGGGGAAUAUUGGACAAUGGGGGCAACCCUGAUCCAGCCAUGCCGCGUGUGUGAAGAAGGCUUUCGGGUUGUAAAGCACUUUCAGUGAGGAGGAAAACCUGACGACUAAUACUCGUGAGGCUUGACGUUACUCACAGAAGAAGCACCGCUAACU
rnacentral:rRNA from 1 species